rnacentral:rRNA from 1 species
ACGGGAGGCAGCAGUGGGGAAUAUUGCACAAUGGGGGAAACCCUGAUGCAGCGACGCCGCGUGAGUGAAGAAGUAUUUCGGUAUGUAAAGCUCUAUCAGCAGGAAAGAAAAUGACGGUACCUGACUAAGAAGCCCCGGCUAACUACGUGCCAGCAGCCGCGGUAACACGUAGGGGGCAAGCGUUAUCCGGAUUUACUGGGUGUAAAGGGAGCGUAGACGGUAAGGCAAGUCUGAAGUGAAAUGCCAGGGCUCAACCCUGGAACUGCUUUGGAAACUGUCCUACUAGAGUGCAGGAGAGGUAAGUGGAAUUCCUAGUGUAGCGGUGAAAUGCGUAGAUAUUAGGAGGAACACCAGUGGCGAAGGCGGCUUACUGGACUGUAACUGACGUUGAGGCUCGAAAGCGUGGGGAGCAAACAGGAUUAGAUACCCUGGUA